rnacentral:sRNA from 1 species
GAUCAUUUACAGAUGAAAAUGGUUUAGAAGAAGAAAGAAGGCUUUGUUAUGUUGGUAUUACAAGGGCUAAAGAAAAAUUGUAUUUAACAUUUGCUGAAC